AGAGUUUGAUCCUGGCUCAGGAUGAACGCUGGCGGCGUGCCUAAUACAUGCAAGUCGAGCGAACGGACGAGAAGCUUGCUUCUCUGGUGUUAGCGGCGGACGGGUGAGUAACACGUGGAUAACCUACCUAUAAGACUGGGAUAACUUCGGGAAACCGGAGCUAAUACCGGAUAAUAUUUUGAACCGCAUGGUUCAAAAGUGAAAGACGGUCUUGCUGUCACUUAUAGAUGGAUCCGCGCUGCAUUAGCUAGUUGGUAAGGUAACGGCUUACCAAGGCAACGAUGCAUAGCCGACCUGAGAGGGUGAUCGGCCACACUGGAACUGAGACACGGUCCAGACUCCUACGGGAGGCAGCAGUAGGGAAUCUUCCGCAAUGGGCGAAAGCCUGACGGAGCAACGCCGCGUGAGUGAUGAAGGUCUUCGGAUCGUAAAACUCUGUUAUUAGGGAAGAACAUAUGUGUAAGUAACUGUGCACAUCUUGACGGUACCUAAUCAGAAAGCCACGGCUAACUACGUGCCAGCAGCCGCGGUAAUACGUAGGUGGCAAGCGUUAUCCGGAAUUAUUGGGCGUAAAGCGCGCGUAGGCGGUUUUUUAAGUCUGAUGUGAAAGCCCACGGCUCAACCGUGGAGGGUCAUUGGAAACUGGAAAACUUGAGUGCAGAAGAGGAAAGUGGAAUUCCAUGUGUAGCGGUGAAAUGCGCAGAGAUAUGGAGGAACACCAGUGGCGAAGGCGACUUUCUGGUCUGUAACUGACGCUGAUGUGCGAAAGCGUGGGGAUCAAA
rnacentral:rRNA from 1 species